rnacentral:rRNA from 1 species
CAACGUGGAUAACCUGCCUCAAGGCUGGGGAUAACAUUUGGAAACAGAUGCUAAUACCGAAUAAAACUUAGUAUCGCAUGAUAUCAGUUAAAAGGCGCUACGGCGUCACCUAGAGAUGGAUCCGCGGUGCAUUAGUUAGUUGGUGGGGUAAAGGCUUACCAAGACGAUGAUGCAUAGCCGAGUUGAGAGACUGAUCGGCCACAUUGGGACUGAGACACGGCCCAAACUCCUACGGGAGGCAGCAG